UCACAGUGUUCUCAUUCUAUUGUUCUUUCGACUAUUUUUGACACCCAUAUUGAAAAAAAAAUCAACGUACAAAUCACUGCUUAUAAGCGGUAUCAGAUGAGCUUUUAUCAUUAAAAACCCUUUUUUACUUUACUUAAAGAAUUUGAUAUCUAAGUGUUUUUUUCUUUUGUUUUUUUUGUUAUUGUUUUUUUUUGUAGUCAUUCCCUCAUCUUUUUUUUUUUUCUGGGGAGGAAUUGCUUUUACCAACCUCUGGACGACAUAUCUGGAAAGUGACUGAGUGGAAUAUGGGAGCAAAAGGACAAGAAAGACAGAAAAGACUCCCAGGGAGGCGAGACUCCGCCUGCAGCGACUGCUUCACUCCGCAUGGGCCACCAUCCCCAUCUGGAUCACCUUUACUACGGUUCUGAUGUAUAGCGCCAAGUGGAAGGUGACACCUGGA
ensembl:lncRNA